rnacentral:tRNA from 1 species
AGGCCAGUAGCUCGAAUUGGUAGAGCGUCGGAUUCCAAAUCCGAAUGUUGGGGGUUCGAAUCCCUCCUGGCCUG